UACGUAGGGUGCGAGCGUUUGUCCGGAAUUAUUGGGCGUAAAGAGCUCGUAGGCGGUUUGUCGCGUCGACUGUGAAAACCUGGGGCUUAACUCUGGGCCUGCAGUCGAUACGGGCAGACUUGAGUUCGGUAGGGGAGACUGGAAUUCCUGGUGUAGCGGUGAAAUGCGUAGAUAUCGGGAGGAACACCAAUUGCGAAGGCAGCUUGCUGGGACGGUACUGACGCUGAGGCGCGAAAGCGUGGGGAGCAAACAGGG
rnacentral:rRNA from 1 species